UUACGGCCAUAUCACGUUGAACACACCGGUUCUCGUCCGAUCACCGAAGUUAAGCAACGUCGAGCCUGGUCAGUACUUAGAUGGGUGACCGCUUGGGAAUACCAGGUGCUGUAAG
rnacentral:rRNA from 1 species